CCUACGAGAGGCAGCAGUGGGGAAUAUUGGGCAAUGGGCGCAAGCCUGACCCAGCAACGCCGCGUGAAGGAAGAAGGCUUUCGGGUUGUAAACUUCUUUUCUCAGGGACGAAGCAAGUGACGGUACCUGAGUAAUAAGCCACGGCUAACUACGUGCCAGCAGCCUCGGUAAUACGUAGGUGGCAAGCGUUAUCCGGAUUUACUGGGUGUAAAGGGCGGGUAGGCGGGACUUAAAGUCAGAUGUGAAAACCACGUGUUCAACCUGUGGCCUGCAUUUGAAACUGUAGUUCUUGAGUACUGGAGAGGCAGACGGAAUUCCUAGUGUAGCGGUGAAAUGCGUAGAUAUUAGGAGGAACACCAGUGGCGAAGGCGGUCUGCUGGACAGCAACUGACGCUGAGGCGCGAAAGCGUGGGGAGCAAACAGGAUUAGAUACCCUUGUAGUC
rnacentral:rRNA from 1 species